rnacentral:rRNA from 1 species
GGCCUUCGGGUUGUAAACCUCUUUCAGUAGGGAAGAAGCGAAAGUGACGGUACCUGCAGAAGAAGCGCCGGCUAACUACGUGCCAGCAGCCGCGGUAAUACGUAGGGCGCAAGCGUUAUCCGGAAUUAUUGGGCGUAAAGAGCUCGUAGGCGGUUUGUCGCGUCUGCCGUGAAAGUCCGGGGCUCAACUCCGGAUCUGCGGUGGGUACGGGCAGGCUAGAGUGAUGUAGGGGAGACUGGAAUUCCUGGUGUAGCGGUGAAAUGCGCAGAUAUCAGGAGGAACACCGAUGGCGAAGGCAGGUCUCUGGGCAUUAACUGACGCUGAGGAGCGAAAGCAUGGGGAGCGAACAGGAUUAGAUACCCUGGUAGUCCAUGCCGUAAACGUUGGGCACUAGGUGUGGGGGACAUUCCACGUUUUCCGCGCCGUAGCUAACGCAUUAAGUGCCCCGCCUGGGGAGUACGGCCGCAAGGCUAAAACUCAAAGGAAUUGACGGGGGCCCGCACAAGCGGCGGAGCAUGCGGAUUAAUUCGAUGCAACGCGAAGAACCUUACCAAGGCUUGACAUGGACCGGACCGCCGCAGAGAUGUGGUUUCUCCUUUUGGGGCCGGUUCACAGGUGGUGCAUGGUUGUCGUCAGCUCGUGUCGUGAGAUGUUGGGUUAAGUCCCGCAACGAGCGCAACCCUCGUUCCAUGUUGCCAGCGCGUA